CGCUUUCCUUGAGGCCCCGCACCUAAAGAAACAUUGUGAUGGGAGAGUAAAGGUUUGAAAAUCGGAGACUUUGAGUACAAGGAGAACUGAAGGCGACAGGAGCAGACAGAGGCCAUCACAGGAGACAAUCUACAGGGCAUCCAGUCUCCUCCGGAGCACGGAGCUCUGGCCUGGUCCUGCAAGGUCCAGUAGUAGUGGGCAAAAUGAGGUCCAGAGCUGUUCUGAGAUAGCUCUUUACCCCUCUACUGGGACUCGAACCAGGGUCUUUAGUUUGCUAGGCUCACUCUGCCAUAGAACUUCACUAUAUUCCUGUCCCCUUCCAUGUCUUGUUUACAUUUUGUUAUUUGGUUUUUGUUUUUGAGAUAAGAAAUCACCUUGUAAUCCAGAAUGCUGGGCAAGUUGCUAUGUAGCUCAGGCUAUCUGCAACCUUCUGCCUCAGUGCCAGGAUUACAGAUGGAUGCCACCAUAAAUCUACAGUCCCCACCCUCGCAUGUUUUAAGUCACACACAGUUGAAGAUCUUUACAGGUCCUGGGUGUCUGACUUAGUCAGGGUUUCAUUGCUGUGAAGAGACCCCAUGACCUCUUAGAAAGGACAAAGGUUAACUGGGGCUGGAUUAUAGACGUUCAGUCCAUUAUCAUCACGGCAGGAAGCAAGGCAGCGCCAGGCAGACACGGUGCUGGGGAAGGAGCUGAGAGUUCUACAUCUUGAUUUAAAGGAAGACAAGAGCAGUCUGUCUUCUAGGUGACUAAGAGAAGGGUCUCAAGGCCCUCCCCUCCCCCCAGUGACACACUUCCUGCAACAAGGCCACACCUCCUAAUAGUGACAUUCCAGGGCCAAGCACACUCAAACCACCACAGAGCCUGCCGGACUAGGGGCUUCUCAGCCCAGGCUGCCCUGAGGCAGGAAACGUCUUGAGGAAGAGGGUGAGGGCAGUGACCACCUACCCUCCAGGACUCACAAUUCUUGGGAGAACCGAAAGGGUGUGAACUAUAGAAAUCGGUGUGAGGGAGAAGAAAUGGUCUCCGGCCUCUGACCCCAGAAUACAGAACAGAUGACUUCCUUGUGUCUCUCUCAUGGCCCUCAUGGCCCUCAUGGCCACCUUCCCUUGUCUGCCGCCUGGCAUGGGCAGUGUCUCUACUUCUCAGAGGCCAUCAGACUACUGCAGUGCCUGGGGGGACAUCGUCGUCGUUCUGAUCCUAUCUGCAUGGAUGAAGCAUCAGACCCCACAGGAUGAGGGCUCAGUCCCAUAUGACUGUCCCCAACCUCAGGACAGUUGCCAAGAAGACGGAGCACGCAGUUUUCCCUCUCCUCCCAGUUCCCACCACCACCUCCCCUUUCCCCCAGGAUCCACUGCUCCUCUGUUCCCCUUUAGGAAAGGGCAGACCUUCCCAGGGAUGUCAAUUGAACAUCCAACAAGAUGGACUAAGACCAGACACAAAAUUGCACAUCUAGGCUGGACAAGGCAGCCCUGUAGGAGGAAAAGGGUCCCAGGUACAUGCAAAAUAGUCACAGACAUCCCCAACUUUCGUUGGUCCACAAACUCCCAAGCUAACCAACACAGCACAUAUGCAGAGGACCCAGCACAGACCCACGCAGGCUCCACGAUUGCUGUUUCAGUCUCUGUGAUCUGCUGGCCGUCUUCUCCUGGCGUCUGUGACCCCUCUGGCUCCUACAAUCAACAACUUGGGAUUUCUGAGGCUGGGUUCUUUGAAGAUUUAUAACUGCUGAGUGUCUUACCUGGCACACUGCUGCCCCCCUGUGCAGAAAUCUGGGCUAGCAUCCUUUAGGACGAAGAGGAUGAAUGGCAGGAAGUGGCCAGAGACCUGCUGUAUUAGGUCUGUUUAGAUGCCCCAGUGAAGAUGGUUGAAUGCAGUUCAAAUCACUGCCCUGCUGUAUCAGGAGCAAGCGAAGCGGCUACGACUGCAGGUCACUGAAUUGGGGGUGGGAUGUUACACUCCAGUUAACCAAGACUACAGGUGUAAGGGUUCCCAUAGCCGUUUAGUGUUGUUCUAAGUGUACUGAGACCUUAGCACAACUGACAGGAGGUGAGCGGCACCAUUCCAACCUCAGCAUUUAGACCUCCACAGCUGCCAAAGAACUAGUCCACUGGAGACCCAGUCUGUAGUGUGUCAGGGCAAAGUCCCUAAAUGUCCUAACCUUGCCUUUUGGCAAGGUUACAGUUCCAUUUUCACUAACUGUUCUUGCUAGCUGAAGUGUGUCAACCAGGAUGUGAUGUCUGUGCAUAAAGGGCAAAGAACAGAGCAGCUUGGGCUGCAUGAUUUGCGUUAGUUCCCUUGCAGUCACCGGCUGGCAAUACUUCUAUUGUGCUUUAAGUGUACCUGUGUGGGCUGGACCUAGGCCUCCCGACACGUAUGUAGCAGAUGUGCAGCUUGGUCUUCAUGUGGGUCCCGAAUAACUGGAGCAGGAGUGGGGGGUAGGAAUGGGGGAGACUAUUCCAAAAACUAUUGCCUGUGCGUGGGAUAUGUUCUUCUGCUGGGCUGCCUUGUCUGGCCUCAGUGGGAGACAAUGUGCCUAAUCCCACAGAAACCUGAUGUGCCUGGGUGAAGGGGAUCCCCAGGGGGCCCCACUAGCUCGAAGAAGGAGGGGAUGGGGGAUGGGGGAAAGGAUUGUGGGAGGGGAUGACCAGGAAGGAGGGUUGUAGUGAGCAAGAUGUAAAAUGAAUUAAAAAACAAAAAGACUCUUCCGUGUAUUCUCGGGGGGAAUUACCUCAGAACAAUACCUCUCAUGAAUGAUACAUAGCUGGUGUUUAAACAAAUUUGGUCUGACAAGUCUGGCAUUUAGUAGCUGGGUCCACAUAUUUCAUAUUUAAUUAUUGAUAUAAUUAUGUUGAUGAAAGGAAGAAUUCCUUAGUGCUGUCAUAGGAAGUAGAGCUUAAUUGAACAAAGAAAUCAGAACAGAGCAGGUUCUGAAAACAGCAAUCAGCGUUGAAUUUUGCAGGUGUCUGCAGAGUAAGAGAACUUACACACACAAAACUUAAUAGUUAGCUGCUUGGUCCAUUUCAGAGCCUCUAGGAGCUGAUAAUUGGCAGGUCCUGCCUCUGAACCCAACACUCACUUGGUAUAUUGGGCAGAUGUUGAAUUCCAUUCCGUGUCCAUGGUCUUCUGCUGAUGUUACUGGCAGUGCGUAUGCUGCAUCUUGUUUUGGGUUUCCAUUGACUAGACUGAACUGGUAUUCUAUUAAUGCUAUGACACAACAGUGGUGCAAAAAUAAUGCUAGUAAGCCAGACCUGGUGGCAACAGCCUAUAACCCUAACUACUGGAGGAUGAGGCAGGAUAGAAAAUUCAAAGCUAUUUGUGCUGCAGAGGAAGUCCAAGGACCUGAGCAACUAGGGGAGACUAUGCCUCAAAAAACAAUGUUAAGAAGAAAGUGUAUUAGUCACGGUUCUCUAGAGCAGAAUGUAUAGAAUGAAUCUCUCUCUCCUCUGCCUGCUAUCUAUCUAUCUAUCUAUCUAUCUAUCUAUCUAUCUAUCUAUCUAUCUCAUAUAUAUGCAGGCUGCUGUCCAGCUAAUCAAACAACAAUUGGCUGAACAUAAAGCCCACGAAUCCAGUAGUUGCUCCGUUCACAAGGCUGGAGCCUCUGCUGAUUUCCUAUAUACUCUGGAAUCCCGUAGAAGCCGGCUCUGAUGCCAGUGAAGGAUGGAUGUGCUAGCCAUGUGAGGGCAAGCAGGCGAAGAGCAAAGGCUUCCUUCUUCUAUGUCAGCAUUUCUUCAUUUGUGGGAAGCAGCCCCUUUGGGGACGAAUGACCCAGAGAUUGACUAUCAGAUGUUCUGAAUAUCCGAUAGUGGCAUAUGGCUCAUAAUAGUAGCAAAAUUAUAAAAUAGCAAUAAAAAUAAUUUUAUGGUUGGGAGUCACCACAACAUAGGAAACUGUACUAAAGGGCCACGGCAUUGGGAAGGUUGAGAGCCACUGCUCUAUGUCCUUACAUAGACUUCCAGCCGAAGGCGUGGCCCAAAUGAAAGGUAUGUCUUCCCACCUCAAGAUCCAGAUAAAAUGCAUGUAUCUUUCCACC